rnacentral:lncRNA from 1 species
GUCACACUUUACCAAAUAGAGUGAGUCAUAAAAGACAAACACAUUGAUCAUCAUGAGUGAUAUUCAGGUAUGUCUUUAUCACUCUGAAUUUACGUAGAUUCUCUAAGAUUAUCACUACACAUAUACACACACUGAGGCAUGUUGUUUGAAUAUAGCCCUUGAGCCUUUCUAGCCAUCCCGUGAAUUUUAUCUUUUGUUAAGCCCAUUUGAACCUGUAUCCAUUGAUUGUUUAACCAUGUAUAUUUAACCCGUGGCCCAAACACUUCCUAACCCUGUUCGGAGUCAAUAUGAUAUUAUCAAGCUGUGUGAAAUUCUAAGUUUGGGUAAACCCCAUAAGUAUCUAAAACAAAGGUGAGUGUAAAAAAAAUAGAAAUAACGAUCGUCGAAAAAAGAAAGAGAAAACAAAAUAUACUCGAUGGUUCGAAAAGAAGCACUCACCGAAGGAAGAACACUCGGUUGAAAAAAAAGAGAAUUUCAAAGAAGAAAAAACCAAGCGAUUGAAAAAAAAAAGAAGUAAAAUGAAUGAACACAGUGAAGAAAAUAUUGACAUUGGCUCUAAACCCAAAACCACUUGUUUUCCCUUUUUUAUUUACCACACCAUAACCCAAGCCCCGCUACAACCCGAAAGACCUCAAAAAGUGUGUGUUGUGUGCAGUUGAUAUGAAAGGAGAAACUAUUCAAACUUAUGAGUUGGUAUUGCA